GACGAACGCUGGCGGCGUGCUUAACACAUGCAAGUCGAACGGAAAGGCCCUGCUUUUGUGGGGUGCUCGAGUGGCGAACGGGUGAGUAACACGUGAGUAACCUGCCCUUGACUUUGGGAUAACUUCAGGAAACUGGGGCUAAUACCGGAUAGGAGCUCCUGCUGCAUGGUGGGGGUUGGAAAGUUUCGGCGGUUGGGGAUGGACUCGCGGCUUAUCAGCUUGUUGGUGGGGUAGUGGCUUACCAAGGCUUUGACGGGUAGCCGGCCUGGGGGGGUGGCCGGCCAAAUGGGGCUUGAGAUACGGCCAAAGCUCCGUGGGGGGGAAGGAGUGGGGAAUAUUGCAAAAGGGGCGGAAGCCUGAGGCAGCAACGCCGGGGGGGGGAUGACGGCCUUCGGGUGGAAAACCGUUUUCGCCUGUGACGAAGCGGGAGGGCCGGGAAUGGGGAAAGAAGCACCGGCAAACUACGG
rnacentral:rRNA from 1 species